rnacentral:rRNA from 1 species
AUGCCUACGGGGCGCAGCAGUGAGGGAUAUUGGUCAAUGGGGGGAACCCUGAACCAGCAACGCCGCGUGAGGGAAGACGGUUUUCGGAUUGUAAACCUCUGUCCUCUGUGAAGAUAAUGACGGUAGCAGAGGAGGAAGCUCCGGCUAACUACGUGCCAGCAGCCGCGGUAAUACGUAGGGAGCGAGCGUUGUCCGGAUUUACUGGGUGUAAAGGGCGUGUAGCCGGGUUGACAAGUCAGAUGUGAAAUCCUGCGGCUUAACCGCAGAACUGCAUUUGAAACUGUUGAUCUUGAGUACUGGAGAGG